rnacentral:tRNA from 1 species
CGGGGUAUAGCGCAGUCUGGCAGCGCAUCUGCUUUGGGAGCAGAGGGUCGUUGGUUCAAAUCCAGCUACCCCGACCA